rnacentral:rRNA from 1 species
UCCUACGGGAGGCAGCAGUGGGGAAUUUUGGACAAUGGGCGCAAGCCUGAUCCAGCAAUGCCGCGUGCAGGAAGAAGGCCUUCGGGUUGUAAACUGCUUUUGUACGGAACGAAACGGUCUGGGUUAAUACCCUGGGCUAAUGACGGUACCGUAAGAAUAAGCACCGGCUAACUACGUGCCAGCAGCCGCGGUAAU